rnacentral:rRNA from 1 species
GACGGAGGGUGCUAGCGUUGUUCGGAAUCACUGGGCGUAAAGGGCGCGUAGGCGGCCUUGCAAGUCGGUUGGUGAAAGCCCGGGGCUCAACCCCGGAGGUGCGGCCGAGACUGCAGGGCUGGAGGCCGGAAGAGGAGGGUGGAAUACCCAGUGUAGAGGUGAAAUUCGUAGAUAUCGGGAGGAACACCAGUGGCGAAGGCGGCGACCUGGGCCAAUAUUGACGCUGAGGUGCGAAAGCGUGGGGAGCAAACAGG